CCCGGAAGCGCCCAGUCGGGUGGCGUAGUGCGCAGGCGCGGCGUUCCGCGGGCUCCGCGCUGGCGGCGGGGAGCGGGCUCGGGCCGCUUGCCCCCGCGUGGGCUCGCGCUGGGCCGGGGAGUCCGCGCGGCCCGCGCCGGAGGGGGGGGUUCUGUCCCAACAUGGGACGGAAGCACGUGACCCGCCCGGUUGGCGCCUUCGGAAGCAGCUCAUGAGCUGACUGAGAGGAGCCCGGCGGGGGGCCUGAGGCUGCGGAGGAGCGCGGUGCCCGGAGCCCCUGCCCCAGAGGCUCCAGUCGGCGCCAGAGCGGCUCCCGGCCUCCCGGUGGAGCCGCCGCUGCCGGGAGCCCUGCAGGAGGAAGAGCGCUGGGGGCACUUGUUGGGCCUGCGCCCCCCGGGGCCUUCGCAAAGCCAGUUCCGGGCCGGGGCCCUGGCGGAGGGAGAAAAUAAAUUGUUUGGGAGACACGGAGCCUCCGCGCCCUUUGUGACCCGCCGUUGGGCCUGCCUGGGAGCCCGGCGAGACCCUGGUGGGGGGCGGGCUCUGGACCCCGGAGGGAGGAAGCCCAAGGCAAGGGUCUGGGCCGCCCGGGGCUGCUGGCCCCGAGAAUGAGGGGGCGCCCGUCUGGGAUUCCUGCCCCUGCAGCCCCGCUGUGCGCCUGGCCCCGCCUCUUCCGCCCUGGGAGGGGGGAGGGGCAGCGGCGUCUUACAGCCCCCAGAGGUGGGCGGGGCUGGCCGCGGUGGGAGGGGGGAGUUCUGCGGGACCCCAUCUGGGCGAGCCUGUUUCCAUCAGUGAAUGCGACCGAGGCUGCGGGGUCCCUGCCGAAAAGUGGGCUGGGCUGCGAGCCGCGGCCUGCUCGAGGAGGAAGGGCGGAGGCCGUUGGGGGUUCAAGGUCAAAGUCAGACCCUGCGGCGAGGUCUGUGCCAUGAGAACAGUAGGGGGCGCUCUAACAUGAGCUGUCCCGAGGCUCCCGGGGAGCAAAGUGGGCGGCGGGCGCUUGGGCAGAGGAAGAGCCCGCGUGUCUCGGUGGGGCUCGGAGAGUGU